rnacentral:antisense_RNA from 1 species
AGAUGACCCAAGCCAAGUGCAGAAGGCGCGCCUCCUCCCAAAGCUCGGCUAGUCCCUCCACCAAAGCCAGGAUCAGAGCCCACAAGUGCCUGGCCAACCCCUGGCACUGAUGAUGCCUGGGUGCGGGUUAAGCUGGGAGGAGCUCCUGCCUGCCUGGAUGAAGAGGAGGUCAAGACUUUGUCCCCCACUCCCCAAGAUACCCUCUCUGUUCCGGAUCGAUGAGACGGGAUUUCACCAUGUUAGCCAGGAUGGUCUUGAUCUCCUGACCUCAUGAUCUGCCCACCUCGGCCUCCCAAAGUGCUGGGCUUACAGGCGUGAGCCACCGUGCCCGGCCAAAAAUAACUUUUAAAAACAUGAGUAUAGCAUACACACACACAAAAGUCCACAAAUCCUAAGUGUACCACUUGAUGAAUGAUCCCAACAUGAGCACACCUCUGGAUUACCACCUGGAUCAAGAAAUAGGACAUCACAGCAGCUGGCAGCUUCCAAGGAGAAGCUCUGGAAAGUUCUGCCUGUCUCAGCACCUGACUGGAUCGGAAACGAGUUUUCUUUAACCAGAUUUUUAAUGACUGAC